rnacentral:rRNA from 1 species
AAUAUUGCACAAUGGGGGAAACCCUGAUGCAGCGACGCAGCGUGAGCGAAGAAGGCCUCCGGGUCGUAAAGCGCUGUCCAAAGGGAAGAUAAUGACGGUAGCAUAGGAGGAAGCCUCGGCUAACCACGGGCCAGCAGCCGCGGUAACACGUAGGGGGCAAGCGUUAUCCGGAAUCAUUGGGCGUAAAGGGUGCGUAGGCUGCCCUAUAGGUCAGAGGUCAAAGGCUACGGCUCAACCGUAGCAAGCCUUUGAAACUGUAAGGCUUGAGUGCAGAAGAGGAGAGUGGAAUUCCUAGUGUAGCGGUGAAAUGCGUAGAUAUUAGGAGGACCACCAGUGGCGAAGGCGACUCUCUGGACUGCAACUGACGCUGAAGCACGAAAGCGUGGGUAGCGAACA